UAAACGAUGUCGAUUAGCUGUUGGGCAGCAUGACUGCUUAGUAGCGAAGCUAACGCGUGAAAUCGACCGCCUGGGGAGUACGGUCGCAAGAUUAAAACUCAAAGGAAUUGACGGGGACCCGCACAAGCGGUGGAUGAUGUGGAUUAAUUCGGUGCAACGCGAAGAACCUUACCUGGUCUUGACAUGUACGAACCCUCCAGAGACGGAGGGGUGCCUUCGGGAGCCGUAACACAGGUGCUGCAUGGCUGUCGUCAGCUCGUGUCGUGAGAUGUUGGGUUAAGUCCCGCAACGAGCGCAACCCUUGUCAUUAGUUGCCAUCAUUAAGUUGGGCACUCUAAUGAGACUGCCGGUGACAAGCCGGAGGAAGGUGGGGAUGACGUCAAGUCCUCAUGGCCCUUAUGACCAGGGCUUCACACGUCAUACAAUGGUCGGUACAGAGGGUAGCCAAGCCGCGAGGUGGAGCCAAUCUCACAAAACCGAUCGUAGUCCGGAUUGCACUCUGCAACUCGAGUGCAUGAAGUCGGAGUCGCUAGUAAUCGCAGGUCAGCAUACUGCGGUGAAUACGUUCCCGGGUCUUGUACACACCGCCCGUCACACCAUGGGAGUGGGGGAUACCAGAAGUAGGUAGGGUAACCGCAAGGAGCCCGCUUACC
rnacentral:rRNA from 1 species